UUCAGAGAAAGGGAUUAUGAGGAGGCCAUGAUAGGUAAAGGCCAGGGAUGCUCUGGAAUAGGCUUAUCUGUUGAGCGUGUGUCCCUGUUCUGGUCCGUCUCCCAGUUUGUGUCUCUGUCUUUCCUCCCUGUCCUGGCACUGUUCUGCCCAAGGUACUGAAGCUAAUCAGUGUGCUUGGCUGCGUAUCUCUUAUCUUCUACUUUCUUCCUCUGUGCCCUCCUCUGACACUCGCGCUGUGGUUUUCUGAGUGUUGUUCUGUUCUCAGAGUGGUGCUCUCCUGGCCUCUAUUUCAAUUUUAUUGUGCUUUUACACAAAGUGUGUGUGUGUGUAUCGGUCUGUCUGUCUUUUUCUUUGGUGUUAGCUGACUUUGUUUUGUAUUUACAUCAUUUACAUAAUCUCCUGAUGUAAUCUCCUGGCUCUUCGCUGUCUGACACUUGACUCUGCCCUUAGAUCUGUGCUCUGUUAGAGUCCUUGUUCAGUUUCCCUUAUUUCUUUAAGGGAAAAGGCAGAUGAUUUACAGGAAACCCUUACGUCACAACAAAAGUACAAAUCAUUCUGGGUUCUGACUGUCUCUGGACAAGGUGCUCCCAGAGGUGCGAUUGAUCCUGGGAACUGACAUCUGACACACUGCUUGCUGUUCACUCUGAGACAGUCAGUCUGUUGUGUGUGUUUUCAGGAGGAAGACUGCAUGGUGACCCGCAAAGAGAAAAGAUCAAACUGCUCCUCCAUGAGCAUUCAAAGCCAAGGGCAAGAGGCCAGGAAUUAUGCCCACAAAUUAGCUGAAGCAUUGUAUGAAAUCCAGCGAUACAUCAACGUCUACUCAACACACCGUCCAGCCAUGCAGAAGUGUCUGGACCAGCUCCGGAACACUGAGAUAAUCCUGAUGGAAUUUCACCAACACUUCGCCAUCGCCUCCAAUAUGGCAGCCACAGAGCGCUCAUCCAAGGGGAAGAACAGCUUCGCUGAGUUAGCAUGGGUCCUGAUCUCCCAAGGUGCAACCGGGACCUUAAUGAAGAGCAUAGAGAUGGUGAUCCCUGAAGUCUCAGCAGCCAGGCAGAGAAGUGUCCCCCUUGAUCGCAGACAGUUGGAAACUGUGGUCGGCGCUUUUCUGCAGGAGCUGAUGGACGUCACGUACGCCCUGCAGUACCUCCGCAGGAAGAUGGAGCAUCUCAAGAAGUGCCACUACUCUACUCCCAAGGGGCAGGCCAGAGGGCAGGACGACAGCCGCGCAUCCCUGGUUAUCCCAUUGACCGGCAGAGUUGCCGGCGCGCUGGAGUCCUCCCGGAAGGCAGAGGAGAAGCUGAACCGUUUCCCCAGCCGCUUGGCGCGAUACUUCACGUCUUCAGACAAGAUCAAGGAAAACUCCAUGAUGAACCUGGUGAUCCUCGUCUCCGAUGUGGCGGGAGAAAUGAAGUCGGUACAAGAUGAGCUGUGUGGAAUUCAGUACAACCUGGAGAGCUGUAACGUCUAUAUAGGAGGUCUCAGUUUAUAAGAUGAGACUGUUGCCUUAUUGUCCUUUACUCUUUUUAUUAUUCAUGUCUCCCUUGCUACAAUGUUAGUUUUUGCAUAUGGUAGAUCUUCCCCCUGCUACUCUGGUGUGGUGCUGCCUCACAGCUCCACGGUCCUAGGUUCGACUCAAGGGAGGAGUGCCUGUCUGUGUGGAGUUUGCACGCUCUUUACUCACUUGCAAGGGUUUUAUUCCAUUAAACCUAUAUAUUCUAACAUGACAGCUCAGUAUCAAUCUAUACUGUGAUUAAAAACGUGUGGUAAAAGCUUUGGUUUAUCAUCCUUUCUGGUGUUUAGACGUUUUGUCCAUUUAAAGCCCAUCCCGGUAUUCAGUCUAAUCCAGCAAUUGUUAAGAGCUGAAAUGUUCAAACUUUUGUUUCAAAUAAUAUUUUAAAACAUAACCAAGGGUGAUGAGUGCACCUUUUGGGAUGUGCAGGAUUCCAAACACGUAGAAAAGAUUGAAGGGAGGUGUAGCACUACAUAUCAGAAAGUGCACAGAACCUCAACCGACAUGAAUCACAGGUCUCUGAGUCUAUGUUGAUAAAAAAAAUGAUCAUGGCAAACUAUCAGGAAUAUGGUACACACUUCCAAAUUUAGAUAUUUAUUACAAUGCACUCCUAUAAUAAAAUCAGAGACAUAUGUGCAAUGGAAGAAGUAAUAGUCAUGAAACAUUUUUAAAUUUGCUCUCAUAGACAGGAAAUGUCAAGAAGGUCAGUAGCUGACACUGUAAUGGCAGGCCUUGGUAAUGGCUCAUUCAUUGCUCAGUCAGAGCACGAUAUUGAUCUAGGAUUUUUAAACUUCUCAAGCCAGAGUUGACGAACCAUAAGAGAGCUGUGAUCAUACAGUAUCCUGAGAUUGUAAAAAGAAUUUGAAACUUGGAUUUUGUUUGUUUGGCAGAGUACCAGUCACGGCGAGGAUAAUAUGAAUUAACAUAGACAGAUACCAUUAACAUUCAGAUAACAUUCAGAUACCUGAUAUAAACCCAUCAUGUCUACAGAUAAUAUCAAAACAGGAGGAUAAGCAGAUACUGUAGAAAUCUCAAAAGAAAUCCAAUAUAGUCUAGACAGGACUGAAAGCUGUGCAAAUAGCUGGCAGAUGACAUUUAAUCCAGAUAAAUGCCAAGUGAUGCAAGCAGGUAACAAAAAUGGGAACUAUAAAUAUUAAAUAGAAACACUGAAUUUGAUGAAGCAAACUAUGCAGAAGUGAGUGAUUCUGUGGACACACUAUUGUCAUCUUCUAGACAACAGGCAAUACAGCCACACAAAGGUUUGCAAUUGGUCAGUAUCUCGGUAAUAUUUGUUUAUCAGCAGGGGGCAGUCUGCUUCACAGCCUCUAUAAUGCUUAAACACACAAACAAGAAGAGAUUAAUUCCUGAGCUCAAGCACGCAAUGUGCAGCCCCCUUCAGCUGUAAGCAGAAACAAGAGAGGGAGCAGAGGUGUAGGAGAAAGUGGCAGAUUACAUAAAUUGGAUAUAUUCAGGUUCCACUGCAUAAGCAGCCAGCAGCCAUAUCCCCCUGCAGCUCACAGCUGGCAGCCCCACUGAAGCUCAGCAGGUGUGAGCCUGGUCAAUACCUGGAUGGGAGACUCCUGGGAAAGCUGAGGCUGCUGCUGGAAAAGGUGUUAGUGGGGCCAGUAGGGGGCGCUCACCCUGUGGUCUCUGUGGGUCCCAAUGCCCCAGUAUAGUGAUGGGGACACUAGACUGUAAACAGGCGCUGUCCUUCAGAUGAGACGUAAAACCGAGGUCCUGGCUCUCUGUGGUCAUUAAAAAUCUCAGGGUGUUUCUUGAAAAGAGUAGGGGUGUUACCCCAGUGUCCUGGCCACAUUUUCCCCAGGUCUUUACCAAUCAUGGCCUCCUAAUAAUCCCCCUCUCUGAACCGGCUUCAUCACUCUACUCUCCUCCCCACUGAGAGCUGGUGUGUGGUGAGAGUACUGGAGCAUCAUCCAGGUGGGGCUGCACACUGGUGGCGGUAGUGGGAUUCCCCAUUUCCUGUAAAGUGCUUUGAGUGGAGUGUCCAGAAAAGGGCUAUAUAAUGGUAUUCUCCUUCUUAUUAUUAUUAUGAUUAUGUGGCGGUAGUGGGAUUCCCCAUUACUUGUAAAGAGCUUUGAGUGGAGUGUCCUCAAAAGCGCUAUAUAAGUGUAAGGAAUUCUUCUCAUCAUGGAAUUUUCAUGUUCUUCCUGUAGUAGCAUAAACCUUCUCCAGGUGCUCCUGGUUUCCUCCCCCAAAAGACCAUGUUGAAAAGGUCAGGUUCAGCUGAGUGGUGGAGAGCGAUCAUAUGCUCCCAGUCAUGCGUCCUGUACUCCUGACUAAUUAUGAUGGUGGGGCAGCUCUGUGGCUCAGGAUCUGCGCCUGUGGCUGGAAGGUUGCUGGUUUGUAUCCCGCUGCCAGCAGAGGAAUCCUACUCCAUUUGGGCCCCUGAGCAAGGCCCUUAACCCCAACUGCUCCAGGGGUGCUGUAUAAUGGCUGAUCCUGCGCUCUGACCCCAAGCUUCUCUCUCCCCUCCCUGUCUGUGUGUCUCAUGGAGAGACAUACGAAAAGACAUAUUACUAAUACAAGAAAUUGUAUAUGGCCAAUUAAGUGAUCUGAUCUUACAGAGAAUCUGGGUCAGCCUCCCUCAGCUCAGACAUUGCCUUCAGCUCCUCUGAAGGGCUGAGAAAACAGGAAGUUGCUAGAGCUCACUCCAGGUGGUUGGACCAGUUUGCUCGCAGUGGCCUCCUGGGUCACACUGUCAAGCACCAGGCGUCCCAGCUGGAUCCGUGCCUCGAUGGCAGGUGCGUCCGCGACGCUGCUCGGGCGCUGGGCCGCGCCGGCGACGUGUGACAGGAAGCGCUGGAUCCAACCUCGGGCUCCGCCUUCGCACCAGGCCUGGGAAACGACGUGUUGAUCCCGACAGGAUGCCCGGCUCGGCCUGGCAGAUCAGCAUCGUCCCAGCCUUUCAGAGCGUCUGAAUCACCACUCAAAUCUGGUGUUGCCGCAGUUGGACAAAAUGGGAACGUGCGUUUAUGCCCUGUGAAAACAGGAACAUAAAUAUUUCGUCCCCCA
ensembl:lincRNA